CAUUAUCAAUUUCAGCUUUAGUAGAAUGAGGACUCAAGACACUUGUGAAACAAAAUGAAGGCAAAGUCCUAUAUUUUGACACUUUUCUCUCCCUCCCAAACAUUCACGGUUGCUUUACCCACACCUAAUUCCACAGCAUUUUUUUCUUUAAUAACACGUCUUUUAUCAGGUCUUUCCCAAGUUUUCAACUUUUUUUCAUAGAGAUUACUCUCUUCACACUCAUAAUUGUUUGAUUUUGGUAAUAUUGAAUUAAAUUACAUCGUUAUUAAGUACAACUUGCAAAAACAAGUUUUGGAACAAAUACAACUGAUUUUUUUUUUUUUUUUUGAGAUGGAGUCUUGCUCUGUUGCCCAGGCAGGAGUGCAGCAGCACAGUCUUGGCUUACUGCAGCCCCCGCCUCCUAGGCUCAAAGAAUUCUCCUGCCUCAGCCUCCUGAGUAGCUGGGAGGCUGAGGCAGGAGGAUUGCUUGAGCCCAGGAGGUUGAGGGUGCAGUGAGUUGUGUUUUCCAGCCUGGGUAACAGAGCCAGCCCCUGUCUUCAAAUAAAAAUAAAUAAAUAAAACUCUCCAAGAGCACCCAUUUGCUAGACACUAUGGGGGGACUAUCCUGUCUACUGGUGCCCUCUUGUGUUAAAACAGCAGGUCUACAUGAGAAUUAUGAAGCUUUAAGGUGCAUGUGUCUGAGAGAUCUUCAUUCACCUUGGAUUGCACAUUAAAAAUUAGCCCCAAAAUGAUUCAAAUGGUGGUGCUUGAGGUGGGGCCAUGGAAUCAGAAGUGUUUUCUCCCCACCUCCUAAACUGUGUAAAAUGAAAUUAUUAAUGUAUUACUUUUACCAGUAAAACACACACACACUAAAAAAACAGAACAAAACACCACCACAAAUUACCACUACAGUUAAUUAGUUAUAACAAGCAGACCCAGACUGGGCACAAUGGCUCACACCUGUAAUCCCAGCUCACUCAGUUUCUGAGAAUCAGGAAUCUGCAUGUGGCUUAGCUGAUGCUGGGGCUGCAGUAUUCAUUUCCAAGAUGGCACACUAACAUGGUUGUUGCCCGAAGGCCUCAGUUCAUCAUCACAUGAGCCUCUCUACAAGGCUACCUGGGUGUUCUCUUGACAUGGCAGUUGGCUUUUUCCAGAAUAUGAGUGAUCCCAGAGAGGAUCACUCAGUUGAAGAAUUUAAAGAGAGGCAAAGCGUUUAGGAAAGGUGAAUCCACAUCUGUUUUCUCCAUUUGUAUUUAGGAAGCCCACUGAAUUAUAGAAUAUCUAUCUUAAAAGGUUUAGUCUUCCAAUAAAGCAACAGAGAAUAUGCUUAAGAUCAUGAACUCUGGAGCCAAAAUGCCACUUACUAGCUGAGUGGACCUCUGGCAAUUACUUAACCUCUUUGUGCCUCAAUUUCUGCAAAAUAAGGAUAGUAAUAUCACCUACCUGAUUAAGACAAUUAAAGGAAAUAAUGUGCAAUUAACAAGUUACACGUAAACUGCUUUUAACAGUGCUUGGCAUGUAGUCAGCUCUAUGCAAGCUUAAUAAAUGCGAUUUUUAAAAAAGUCAGACUUGACAAAGUAUAUUAGGGUUAAAAUAGUUCUUCUAUUAUUUCUCCCGCUUAGUAUUCUUAUCUCUCAAGGUUUUUGCUAAUAAUAAUUUCUGUUACGCCUCAACUUAAACUGAUGCUUAAUGGAAUUUGUUAUAUUUAAGGGAAAGUAAUCUAAAUUGCUAAGAAGAUAGAUGUGGCAAAAUAAAAAAUAUUUGGUCUUUGUCCCUGGUCCCUGGCACAGAGCUUCUCAGACCCUUGGAAAUUACUGGGUUUUUUUUUUUUUUUUUCUUGAGACGGAGUCUUGCUCUCAGGGGGAGUGCAGUGGUGCCAUCUUGGCUCACUGCAACCUCUGCCUCCCGAGUUCAAACAAUUCUGCCUCAGCCUCCCAAGUAGUUGGGAUUACAGGUGCCCACCACCAUGCCUGGCUAAUUUUUGUAUU
rnacentral:lncRNA from 1 species